rnacentral:rRNA from 1 species
GCUCAUGACGAACGCUGGCGGCGCGCCUAACACAUGCAAGUCGAACGAGCGAGAGAGAGCUUGCUUUCUCGAGCGAGUGGCGAACGGGUGAGUAACGCGUGAGGAAUCUGCCUCAAAGAGGGGGACAACAGUUGGAAACGACUGCUAAUACCGCAUAAGCCCACGGUGCCGCAUGGCACAGAGGGAAAAGGAGUAAUCCGCUUUGAGAUGGCCUCGCGUCCGAUUAGCUAGUUGGUGAGGUAACGGCCCACCAAGGCGACGAUCGGUAGCCGGACUGAGAGGUUGAACGGCCACAUUGGGACUGAGACACGGCCCAGACUCCUACGGGAGGCAGCAGUGGGGAAUAUUGCACAAUGGGGGAAACCCUGAUGCAGCGACGCCGCGUGGAGGAAGAAGGUCUUCGGAUUGUAAACUCCUGUUGUUGGGGAAGAUAAUGACGGUACCCAACAAGGAAGUGACGGCUAACUACGUGCCAGCAGCCGCGGUAAAACGUAGGUCACAAGCGUUGUCCGGAAUUACUGGGUGUAAAGGGAGCGCAGGCGGGAAGACAAGUUGGAAGUGAAAUCUAUGGGCUCAACCCAUAAACUGCUUUCAAAACUGUUUUUCUUGAGUAGUGCAGAGGUAGGCGGAAUUCCCGGUGUAGCGGUGGAAUGCGUAGAUAUCGGGAGGAACACCAGUGGCGAAGGCGGCCUACUGGGCACCAACUGACGCUGAGGCUCGAAAGUGUGGGUAGCAAACAGGAUUAGAUACCCUGGUAGUCCACACCGUAAACGAUGAUUACUAGGGUGUUGGAGGAUUGACCCCUUCAGUGCCGCAGUUAACACAAUAAGUAAUCCACCUGGGGAGUACGACCGCAAGGUUGAAACUCAAAGGAAUUGACGGGGGCCCGCACAAGCAGUGGAGUAUGUGGUUUAAUUCGACGCAACGCGAAGAACCUUACCAAGUCUUGACAUCCCUUGACAGGCAUAGAAAUAUGUUUUCUCUUCGGAGCAAGGAGACAGGUGGUGCAUGGUUGUCGUCAGCUCGUGUCGUGAGAUGUUGGGUUAAGUCCCGCAACGAGCGCAACCCUUAUGGUCAGUUACUACGCAAGAGGACUCUGGCCAGACUGCCGUUGACAAAACGGAGGAAGGUGGGGAUGACGUCAAAUCAUCAUGCCCUUUAUGACUUGGGCUACACACGUACUACAAUGGCGUUAAACAAAGAGAAGCGAGACCGCGAGGUGGAGCAAAACUCAGAAACAACGUCCCAGUUCGGACUGCAGGCUGCAACUCGCCUGCACGAAGUCGGAAUUGCUAGUAAUCGUGGAUCAGCAUGCCACGGUGAAUACGUUCCCGGGCCUUGUACACACCGCCCGUCACACCAUGAGAGCCGGGGGGACCCGA